AACGAACGCUGGCGGCAUGCCUAACACAUGCAAGUCGAACGAGACCUUCGGGUCUAGUGGCGCACGGGUGCGUAACGCGUGGGAAUCUGCCCUUGGGUUCGGAAUAACAGUUAGAAAUGACUGCUAAUACCGGAUGAUGACUUCGGUCCAAAGAUUUAUCGCCCAAGGAUGAGCCCGCGUAGGAUUAGCUUGUUGGUGAGGUAAAAGCUCACCAAGGCGACGAUCCUUAGCUGGUCUGAGAGGAUGAUCAGCCACACUGGGACUGAGACACGGCCCAGACUCCUACGGGAGGCAGCAGUGGGGAAUAUUGGACAAUGGGCGAAAGCCUGAUCCAGCAAUACCGCGUGAGUGAUGAAGGCCUUAGGGUUGUAAAGCUCUUUUACCCGGGAUGAUAAUGACAGUACCGGGAGAAUAAGCCCCGGCUAACUCCGUGCCAGCAGCCGCAGUAAAAC
rnacentral:rRNA from 1 species